GCCCAGAUGGGAUUAGCUUGUUGGUGAGGUAACGGCUCACCAAGGCGACGAUCCCUAGCUGGUCUGAGAGGAUGACCAGCCACACUGGAACUGAGACACGGUCCAGACUCCUACGGGAGGCAGCAGUGGGGAAUAUUGCACAAUGGGCGCAAGCCUGAUGCAGCCAUGCCGCGUGUAUGAAGAAGGCCUUCGGGUUGUAAAGUACUUUCAGCGGGGAGGAAGGUGUUGUGGUUAAUAACCGCAGCAAUUGACGUUACCCGCAGAAGAAGCACCGGCUAACUCCGUGCCAGCAGCCGCGGUAAUACGGAGGGUGCAAGCGUUAAUCGGAAUUACUGGGCGUAAAGCGCACGCAG
rnacentral:rRNA from 1 species